GAUGGAACUAAGAAGCUAAUAGAAAGUAUGUAAGGAAGUGUUUUUACUACUGGCAGUAUAAGUGAUCUCAAAGAUCCCUUGAAUCUUUGGUUUUUUAACUCGCAUAAAGUUAGUUGUUUUACAUCGGUUGGUAACGCGUUCAUUUACGGUUAACUCUACCAAUGUCCAUCACCCUCUGAAGGUAAACACGCGACGUGGAGGUAACGCUAUAGACGUUCCUGCGUGUUCAACUUUUACUGUUCGGUCGACGUUGACCGAAGGGGGGCAUAUCGAUGAUAAUUUCAUUGUUCCAAGCUCGCAUUCGCCGAUGGAGUUGAUCGAGUUAACAGAAAAUCGACCUAAACGUUGCAUCACAGCUUUUAGUCAGAGACGCGAUACUCGUAGAGCGACAGAGAGGAAAGCCAGAAGCGGCGGAAAGAGGAAGGCGGGAAGAGGGGUCUAAAAAUAUUGUCUACUGCUCCAAAUGGGCGGUCACGCGCUCAUGUGUGACAACCUCAUCUAUUGCUCGUAAAGGUGAUUCGAUGGAGAAGGCCGAGAAGCGAGAGAGAAAAAAAAGUAAUUCGCGCGUGUGUCACAUCCUAGUUUUUUUUUGUUUCAGGUUUCGUGUCGUAUGCGUGCCUAUCACACGUUUGCAUUGAUACGAACGAUAGAAUGACGUUUCACCCUUAAUCGAAUAUUCUAAUAAUUCUACAUAAGAGUCAGACAAUGUCACAUAAUUCUAAGUUUAUUCUUCUUUGUGGAACCGAUGUAAUAGUUGCUGUAACUUCUGUUAGUUCGAUUACUUGUCAUUGUACACGCCUUUGACAUACAGAGGGCCCGCAAAACGAAUAUCAUUAGGGCGCUAAUUGAGCAAAGUGAAACGAGCCGUGAUCAUAGAGAAAGUUCCACCCUGGAACGUUGAAAAUAAUCACCUAGACGACUGCGAUAAUUAAUUCCGUUGAGGUCGAACGAUCACGAUUAAUAGAACGCAGGGAAUCGAAUGGUGCUAUUUGGUCUUGGAUGAGUUCGAGUUAAUACAUAUAUGUAUGUAGGAUCUAUUCGUCUCUACUUCUCGCCAUCUUUGUCAGGGACGUGUAAUGUUUUACGGAUGGAAGACGAAGAGGAUUGUUAGCGGCUUGUUACCGGUGCUCCCGCUGACAGAAACGCGUUCUAUUGUCUGACAUGUGGUCGUGUAAUAGCCAACAGCCGAGAAACCGCCAGAACUCGUGUUCGAUCGAUGGAGAAUUUCCUGAGAAACUGAUCCCUCGGUCUAACGCUCUUUGGCGCGACGGAACUUCCAUUUGCGGAAUUCUCUGAAGAUAAGGUUAAGCAAAUAGAUCUGCCUAGAAAUCGUGGCCAUGUAUGAGCUUGCAAAGUUGCUUCUACCAACUUGAAACAAAGUUACAAAGUUCCUCAAAUUAUGUUUUCCGAAAUUCUUUUAUAUCGACGCCCUAAAGUAUCGCAUGUUUUCGCAGAUUGUCAAUCAAGCUUUCCCAGAGAUUUUAUAAUACGAGUUGAUUUCGAGGAGAGCUGGCCUGCACUGUCCGUACCGAUACUUCAUUGUCGUAUCGAUUUAUCGGCUAAACGUGCUCCGUUACCGGGGUCGUAUGUCGUUUUCAGUUCGGCCAAAUGAAAAACGUGCCUCCUGCAAAUAUUCCCGAUCGAGGCGUAUUAAUGUUGUUCCAUCCUGCGAGACGACGUCACAAAGGUUUUUGAAGAGGAUUUCCAAGUUAUCUACCGAAGAAUCUCGGGACUGUAAGAAAUUAAGCGGAUUUGUAUAAAAGAGAGCGUGCAUAAACGCGAGUAUCUGGAAGGAAUAAAAACGUCGACCCUAAUCGACUCGCAUUUAUUUUCCUACGGCUCCACAGAAUCUGGAGAAUUUUUCUCAAAUAAUUCCGUAUACUUGUUCACUUUAUUUUUGAUUUAUCUAAUCCCGAUAACGCUUAUGGCAAUGGUAACAUGAUAAUUGUACCUAUUAAUUUAUCUAUGUUAUCUAUAGAAAAUGAUGUUAUGAAAUCGUUGACAUAUGAUAAAGCGACAAAAAAAUAUGAAAAAAUACUGCGUGAUACACGUUAUGUGAUUACAGCUAUUAAACAGUACAGAAGAUAUUGUAAAAUGUAAGUAUUGGUAUUUAGUAAUUGAAUUUAAUUGUCACUGGCAUGUAUGCUAAUUUUGUUAAUGACUGUGUCUGAUAUUUGUAAUAGUAUUUGUAAACAAUGUUUUUAAUACGGGUUCCUCGUAAACUUUAAUUAUAGGCCUCCAAGAAUGUAGAUCCAUCGAUACGAAUAAAAGUUCGGUUCGUCGAAACGUCGAGGAGGAAACUUCUUGUCGCGUUGGCCAACAGGGAGAGGCUCGCGAUAAAGUAGAAUUCUCCACUUCGAGGCUGAAUGAGAAUUCAACAAGUGUCGGGUACGGAGGCUCGAGGGAAUAGAGGCUUCUGGCGUAACUUUCCAUACAAGCGAGUAUUGCUUCUACAAAGGCAGCCAUUAGAACUAAUUCAAUGUGUAAACAUAUCCUACUGGAGGACUGCCACCCAUAUUUUUCUUUCUUUAAACGCGUAGUGCAGCCAUCGACUGAGCCCAUAAUCUCGCACAACUUCAAAAGGGUCAAACGAUCGCGUCGCGAUUGUUACAGCAAUCAAAGCGAAACCAUCACACGGGGGAUCUUCUGACGUCAUAAACGCGUGGCCACGUGGACUCUGCUUGGAGUGAGAAGACCUCGAACAUUCGUCGAUCGAUU